AUUUUGCGUCAAAGUAGAUUAAGAGAUAUGCAAUAAUGUUAGUGCGAAGCAUUACUUCCAACGAGUAUGAUUAUUUUCAGACUUUUCUUAUGUAGUGUGUUUAUUUUUCAUCAAUGUCAACCUCGAUCAGUUAUACGUAAAGUCUAUAACUGCAGUAACAAUUACAACCGAACAAUAUAUACAAAAUACGAUGAAUCUAAUGUUAUAGCGGACACAAAACUUAACGAAAUUUCCAAAAAUGAAUCAGGAACAUUCACACCAGAUGAUAUUUCGACACAAGAAAUAGAAACGCCCUAAUACGACAAAAAUUCCUCACUCGACAAGAGUUCCACACUUGAAGCUGAAUCGUCUACACUUGAUGAAAACACAACAAUUGAA